GACGAACGCUGGCGGCGUGCUUAACACAUGCAAGUCGAACGGAAAGGCCCCCUUGUGGGGUACUCGAGUGGCGAACGGGUGAGUAACACGUGAGUAACCUACCCUUGACUUUGGGAUAACUUCAGGAAACUGGGGCUAAUACCGGAUAGGAGCUCCUGCUGCAUGGUGGGGGUUGGAAAGUUUCGGCGGUUGGGGAUGGACUCGCGGCUUAUCAGCUUGUUGGUGGGGUAGUGGCUCACCAAGGCUUUGACGGGUAGCCGGCCUGAGAGGGUGACCGGCCACAUUGGGACUGAGAGACGGCCCAGACUCCUACGGGAGGCAGCAGUGGGGAAUAUUGCACAAUGGGCGGAAGCCUGAUGCAGCAACGCCGCGUGCGGGAUGACGGCCUUCGGGUUGUAAACCGCUUUCGCCUGUGACGAAGCGUGAGUGACGGUAAUGGGUAAAGAAGCACCGGCUAACUACGUG
rnacentral:rRNA from 1 species